AGUUCGAUCCCUAGCUCAUUGUAAACCAAAAUAAAAAAAAACCUAAUUAAUCUAUAUAAAGAAAGCUUGUGUUAUAUACAAUUUAAGUGAUCAAUUCCUUUUCAAUCUGUUACAAGUAGAGGACGGUAAUAUAUGGCUAAACUUAGGAAGUUUUUUUAUGUAAUGUUCUACUUUGUUUUCCUAUUUCUUGUUGCAAUAAACGGUGAAAUUGUUCAAUGUGAAAAUAACUCUGAUUGUAAAACAAAAAUAGUUUGCACGAAUGGUCGGAUGCCCGUGUGUAAGUCUGACAUAUGUAAAUGUAAGUUUCCUUCUGAAUGGUGAACAAGAUCAAAGUGAGUACACAGAUAUAUCUUGUAGACAAGCUAGAAUGAUUUCUUGUCGAAGAAAAAGAUCUAAGAAAUAUUAUUUAUGUUAUGUCAUUUUAAUAUUGUGUUCGCAUCCAAUAAUUAAAUGUAAUUUUAUAUUUAUUUUUUCCUUUCCAAUUUUCACAUACCAUGUAAUUUUAUAUUGAAGUUUGCUAUAUCAAUUGUAGGCAUUGUCGUAGAUAUUAGACAGUUUUACGCUAUUAACUUGGAUGCUGUGAGCCUUUUUGCAGAUUCAUCCUUAAUAAUUUUUAGCGAAAUUGAAUAUGUAAUGAUUUCGAUUGAUGUAUUCCUAUGAAUUUGAAUGAUUGAAUGCAUAUUGUUGUUUUGAGUA